UGCCAGCAGCCGCGGUAAUACGGGGGGAGCAAACGUUGUUCGGAUUUACUGGGCGUAAAGGGCGUGUAGGCGGCUCGACAAGUGGUGUGUGAAAUCCUCUGGCUCAACCAGAGAAUUGCGCUCCAAACUGUCGAGCUUGAGAUUGGUAGAGGUAACUGGAAUUCCUGGUGUAGCGGUGAAAUGCGUAGAUAUCAGGAGGAACACCAUUGGCGAAGGCGAGUUACUGGGCCACAUCUGACGCUGAGGCGCGAAAGCUGGGGGAGCGAACAGGAUUAGAUA
rnacentral:rRNA from 1 species